GGUCUUGUAGCUCAGCUGGUUAGAGCGCACGCCUGAUAAGCGUGAGGUCGAUGGUUCAAGUCCAUUCAAGACCACCA
rnacentral:tRNA from 1 species